rnacentral:tRNA from 1 species
UCCCUGGUGGUUCAGUGGUUAAGAAUCCACCUUGCAACGCAGGGGAAUCAGGUUCGAUCCCUGGCCAGGGAA